AACGAACGCUGGCGGCAUGCCUAACACAUGCAAGUCGAACGAGACCUUCGGGUCUAGUGGCGCACGGGUGCGUAACGCGUGGGAACCUGCCCUUAGGUUCGGAAUAACUCCCCGAAAGGGGUGCUAAUACCGGAUAAUGUCUUCGGACCAAAGAUUUAUCGCCUUUGGAUGGGCCCGCGUUGGAUUAGCUAGUUGGUAGGGUAAAAGCCUACCAAGGCGACGAUCCAUAGCUGGUCUGAGAGGAUGAUCAGCCACACUGGGACUGAGACACGGCCCAGACCCCUCCGGGGGGGCGCCGGGGGGGAUAUUUGGCCAGGGGGCGAAGCCCUGGCCCACCAAGGCCGGGUGGGGAAUAAAGGCCUUGGGUUUGUAAGGCUUUUUUCCCGGGGAUAUAAUUACCGUACCCGGGGAAAAAGGCCCCGCCAACCUCCUU
rnacentral:rRNA from 1 species